rnacentral:tRNA from 2 species
GGGUUGGUAGCUCAGUGGUAGAGCAGCGGCCUUUUAAGCCGUUGGUCGUGGGUUCGAGUCCCACCCGACCCACCA